CAGUAGCCGCGGUAAUGCGUAGGUGGCAAGCGUUGUCCGGAAUUAUUGGGCGUAAAGGGCUCGCAGGCGGUUUCUUAAGUCUGACGUGAAAGCCCCCGGCUCAACCGGGGAGGGUCAUUGGAAACUGGGAAACUUGAGUGCAGAAGAGGAGAGUGGAAUUCCACGUGUAGCGGUGAAAUGCGUAGAGAUGUGGAGGAACACCAGUGGCGAAGGCGACUCUCUGGUCUGUAACUGACGCUGAGGAGCGAAAGCGUGGGGAGCGAACAGGAUUAGAUACCCGAGUAGUCCCUGUCUCUUAUAC
rnacentral:rRNA from 1 species